UGUAGGUGGAAGCAGCGGUGGAGAAGGAGGAUGAGGUAGCCAACACUAUUUUAUAUAUAUAUAUAUAUAUAUAUAUAUAAAAAAUUUUUUUUUUAAUUGUGGUAGCCCCCAAAAUAUUGGGACAUAUAAAAAGAGACAACUCUGUUCUGCAGAGUAGUGUUGACAUUAUAGUUGCACAGGCCCUUUGUUGACUCUAGAUAACCUCGGGACAAUUGCACAUCCCAGUAAUGGCGACUUUGCAUUCGGAUGUCAUCCAUAUCAACUUUCGAUGCCCGUUUCUGCGCCUACCAUGGUGACCACGGGUAACGGGGAAACAGGGUUACAUUUCGUACACGGACCGUGAGAAACGGCUACCACAUGCAAGUAAGGCAGCA